ACAGUGGACGCGAGCAUCUGUGGCCAAGUUUUUAAGGGCGCACGGUGGAUGCCUUGGCACCAGGAACCGAUGAAGGACGUGGGAGGCCGCGAUAGGCCCCGGGGAGCUGUCAACCGAGCUUUGAUCCGGGGGUGUCCGAAUGGGGAAACCCGGCAGUCGUCAUGGGCUGUCACCCGCUGCUGAACACAUAGGCAGUGUGGAGGGAACGAGGGGAAGUGAAACAUCUCAGUACCCUCAGGAAGAGAAAACAACCGUGAUUCCGGGAGUAGUGGCGAGCGAAACCGGAUGAGGCCAAACCGUAUGCGUGUGAGACCCGGCAGGGGUUGCGCAUGCGGGGUUGUGGGAAUGAGCUUUCACGGUCUGCCGGCUGUGAGGCGAGUCAGAAACCGUUGGUGUAGUCGAAGGACAUGCGAAAGGUCCGGCGUAGAGGGUAAGACCCCCGUAGACGAAACAUCAGCGGCUUGCUUGCUCAUCUCCCAAGUAGCACGGGGCCCGAGAAAUCCCGUGUGAAUCUGGCGGGACCACCCGCUAAGCCUAAAUAUUCCCUGGUGACCGAUAGCGGAUAGUACCGUGAGGGAAUGGUGAAAAGUACCGCGGGAGCGGAGUGAAAUAGUACCUGAAACCGUGUGCCUACAAGCCGUGGGAGCGUCGGACGUGCUUGCACGUCUCGUGACUGCGUGCCUUUUGAAGAAUGAGCCUGCGAGUUAGCGGUGUGUAGCGAGGUUAACCCGUGUGGGGAAGCCGUAGCGAAAGCGAGUCCGAACAGGGCGAUCGAGUUGCACGCUCUAGACCCGAAGCGGAGUGAUCUAGCCAUGGGCAGGUUGAAGCGGAGGUAAGACUUCGUGGAGGACCGAACCCACCAGGGUUGAAAACCUGGGGGAUGACCUGUGGUUAGGGGUG
rnacentral:rRNA from 1 species